rnacentral:sRNA from 1 species
UAUGAUCUAUAUGGACUUGAUGAUGAA